ensembl:lncRNA CASC15 cancer susceptibility 15
AGGAUGCAAUGGAGAACAUUUACAGAGGACUGUGGGUAAAGCAAAGUCUUCAAGGGAAGAUAACAAAGGAUGAAACAAUGGUGUUGUGUGACUUCCUAGUGUGAAUCAUGGCAAUACAGUGAAAGACAGUGAUUUACUGCUUUUGAGGGCGUGCAUGUAUAUGAUUAACGGAUGGAAGUGCAGGACUCCAAGAUUUACUUCCUUCCCUUUCCAGCAGAAUUACCUGAGACGAGUAAAAUCUACUGGUGGAGUCACUCCAUUAUUCUUAUCUGUGGAGAUCUAGAUCUUGAUUUGAAAGUUUCUGAGAAAAUCUUCAGCUCAGACUUGAGGGUCAACUUUACCAGCUGAAGUGACUACAUCCUGCCUGCUUUCAGCUCCAGUGGAAAAUGCAUUAAUCCCAGAGUCUCCGUGAGGUUUCCUGUUUGAUGACAUAAUCAGAAAAUCCUCCUCACAUUGCCCUUGGGGUUGCUGUCUGGAUGUUAUGUUGUCUUGGAUCUGCAUUUACUGCUCAACCACAUCUAAUUUGAUGUCCUCUGCAGAUUUAAAAUGUGUGCCUUCUUUUCCGUCACCAAGUCAUCCCUGGGUUACUACUGAACAUCCUUCUCAAUUCCCCCCGACCCAUGGAUGGCUGUUCUCCAUUGUCUGUUUCACCAGAUGUCCUCAAAACAAACAGACAGAAGAAGGAAGUGGCUAAUGGAGCUGUGGAGUCCAAGUGUGACUGCCAAGAGGAAUCCAGCAAAGCCAAAAAGCCCAAGCAUGUAGCCCUGCCCGAAGCACGCCACACGCAUGGAAAACCCAGAGGAAAUGAGUGAGGAUCAAUGGGAAGAAGAGAGCCAGCCAGGUUCGAUGCCUUCUCCAUCCGUCAGUGAGGGUGUGGAGAGCCUGCAGGCGUGUGCCUCCCUCUGUAACUUGCUAUUCCUUGUGUAAUGUCAAGUGGAAGUGUGAAGCACCACAAACUGCUCUGAGCAGAGCCCACUUCCCUUCACCCACGGAGAGCGUGAAGCAGUUACACCAACAUCAAUCAAGGAAAACCCACAGGCUGAGCUCACACGGUUGAAGCAGGAAGUUGAAGAUUUGUCCAGGAGCAGAUAGCUGAAGAGAGAGAGAGAGAAGAGAGAACGGCUUACAGCUCAGGUCCUCUCUCCAUGCUUAGGAACCACUACAAAUGCUACUGCCUUGAGUCUCAUUUUGUUUCCCUCUGGAAACCACAUGUGUACCUUGUUUGCAACAGUAUGGGCUCACAGGCAGAAGGAAUUUUCCUUGUCUUGGAUGAGACUUUUGACUUGGACUUUUGGGUUAAGGGCACCGAGGAAGAGAACCAAUGGCAGAGGCCACAUGUGCAAGCAAGAUGGGAGUCUGGAGAGCCUCAGGCUAAAUCACGAGUGCUCAGCCCUCUCCUCUUUGUAAGGGCAACCGGGUCAUAUCUGCCAGCAUAGAACUGCUCUGUCCACAGCCCUAAAAUCUAAUACCUAGAACAAUAAAUGCACUUAAGCACGUCA